rnacentral:rRNA from 1 species
AGUCGAACGGCAGCACGGGAGCAAUCCUGGUGGCGAGUGGCGAACGGGUGAGUAAUACAUCGGAACGUGUCCUGUAGUGGGGGAUAGCCCGGCGAAAGCCGGAUUAAUACCGCAUACGAUCUGCGGAUGAAAGCGGGGGCUCCUUCGGGACCUCGCGCUGCAGGGGCGGCCGAUGGCAGAUUAGCUAGUUGGUGGGGUAAAGGCCUACCAAGGCGACGAUCUGUAGCUGGUCUGAGAGGACGACCAGCCACACUGGGACUGAGACACGGCCCAGACUCCUACGGGAGGCAGCAGUGGGGAAUUUUGGACAAUGGGCGCAAGCCUGAUCCAGCAAUGCCGCGUGUGUGAAGAAGGCCUUCGGGUUGUAAAGCACUUUUGUCCGGAAAGAAAACGUCCUGGUUAAUACCCGGGGCGGAUGACGGUACCGGAAGAAUAAGCACCGGCUAACUACGUGCCAGCAGCCGCGGUAAUACGUAGGGUGCAAGCGUUAAUCGGAAUUACUGGGCGUAAAGCGUGCGCAGGCGGUUCGCUAAGACAGAUGUGAAAUCCCCGGGCUUAACCUGGGAACUGCAUUUGUGACUGGCGGGCUAGAGUAUGGCAGAGGGGGGUAGAAUUCCACGUGUAGCAGUGAAAUGCGUAGAGAUGUGGAGGAAUACCGAUGGCGAAGGCAGCCCCCUGGGCCAAUACUGACGCUCAUGCACGAAAGCGUGGGGAGCAAACAGGAUUAGAUACCCUGGUAGUCCACGCCCUAAACGAUGUCAACUAGUUGUCGGGUCUUCAUUGACUUGGUAACGUAGCUAACGCGUGAAGUUGACCGCCUGGGGAGUACGGUCGCAAGAUUAAAACUCAAAGGAAUUGACGGGGACCCGCACAAGCGGUGGAUGAUGUGGAUUAAUUCGAUGCAACGCGAAAAACCUUACCUACCCUUGACAUGUAUGGAAGUCUGCCGAGAGGUGGAUGUGCCCGAAAGGGAGCCAUAACACAGGUGCUGCAUGGCUGUCGUCAGCUC